AACGAACGCUGGCGGCAUGCCUAACACAUGCAAGUCGAACGAGACCUUCGGGUCUAGUUGCGCACGGGUGCGUAACGCGUGGGAACCUUCCCGUAGGUUCGGGAUAACUCUCCGAAAGGGGUGCUAAUACCGGAUAAUGUCUUCUGACCAAAGAUUUAUCGCCUUUGGGUGGGCCCGCGUUGUAUUAGCCUGGUGGUAGGGUAAAAGCCUACCAAGGCGACGAUACAUAGCUGGUUUGAGAGAAUGAGACGCCACUCUGGGGCGGAGACACGGCCCAGAAUCCUACGGGAGGCAGCAGUGGGGAAUAUUGAACAACGGGGGAGAGGCUGAACCAGCACGGCCGGGUAAGUGAUGAAGGCCUUAAAGAAGUAAAGCACUUUUACACGGCAUGAUAAUGACGGUACCGGGAGAAUAAGCUCCGGCUAACUCCGUG
rnacentral:rRNA from 1 species